rnacentral:rRNA from 1 species
AUUAGAGUUUGAUCCUGGCUCAGAACGAACGCUGGCGGCAGGCUUAACACAUGCAAGUCGAGCGCGUAGCAAUACGAGCGGCAGACGGGUGAGUAACGCGUGGGAAUCUACCCAUCACUAGGGAAUAACUCAGGGAAACUUGUGCUAAUACCCUAUACGACCGAGAGGUGAAAGAUUUAUCGGUGAUGGAUGAGCCCGCGUUGGAUUAGCUAGUUGGUGGGGUAAAGGCCUACCAAGGCGACGAUCCAUAGCUGGUCUGAGAGGAUGAUCAGCCACACUGGGACUGAGACACGGCCCAGACUCCUACGGGAGGCAGCAGUGGGGAAUAUUGGACAAUGGGCGCAAGCCUGAUCCAGCCAUGCCGCGUGAGUGAUGAAGGCCCUAGGGUUGUAAAGCUCUUUCACCGGUGAAGAUAAUGACGGUAACCGGAGAAGAAGCCCCGGCUAACUUCGUGCCAGCAGCCGCGGUAAUACGAAGGGGGCUAGCGUUGUUCGGAUUUACUGGGCGUAAAGCGCACGUAGGCGGGCUAAUAAGUCAGGGGUGAAAUCCCGGGGCUCAACCCCGGAACUGCCUUUGAUACUGUUAGUCUUGAGUAUGGAAGAGGUGAGUGGAAUUCCGAGUGUAGAGGUGAAAUUCGUAGAUAUUCGGAGGAACACCAGUGGCGAAGGCGGCUCACUGGUCCAUUACUGACGCUGAG